GGGUUGUGAGGUUAAGCGACUAAGCGUACACGGUGGAUGCCCUGGCAGUCAGAGGCGAUGAAGGACGUGCUAAUCUGCGAUAAGCGUCGGUAAGGUGAUAUGAACCGUUAUAACCGGCGAUUUCCGAAUGGGGAAACCCAGUGUGUUUCGACACACUAUCAUUAACUGAAUCCAUAGGUUAAUGAGGCGAACCGGGGGAACUGAAACAUCUAAGUACCCCGAGGAAAAGAAAUCAACCGAGAUUCCCCCAGUAGCGGCGAGCGAACGGGGAGCAGCCCAGAGCCUGAAUCAGUAUGUGUGUUAGUGGAAGCGUCUGGAAAGGCGCGCGAUACAGGGUGACAGCCCCGUACACAAAAAUGCACAUGCUGUGAGCUCGAUGAGUAGGGCGGGACACGUGGUAUCCUGUCUGAAUAUGGGGGGACCAUCCUCCAAGGCUAAAUACUCCUGACUGACCGAUAGUGAACCAGUACCGUGAGGGAAAGGCGAAAAGAACCCCGGCGAGGGGAGUGAAAAAGAACCUGAAACCGUGUACGUACAAGCAGUGGGAGCACGCUUAGGCGUGUGACUGCGUACCUUUUGUAUAAUGGGUCAGCGACUUAUAUUCUGUAGCAAGGUUAACCGAAUAGGGGAGCCGAAGGGAAACCGAGUCUUAACUGGGCGUUAAGUUGCAGGGUAUAGACCCGAAACCCGGUGAUCUAGCCAUGGGCAGGUUGAAGGUUGGGUAACACUAACUGGAGGACCGAACCGACUAAUGUUGAAAAAUUAGCGGAUGACUUGUGGCUGGGGGUGAAAGGCCAAUCAAACCGGGAGAUAGCUGGUUCUCCCCGAAAGCUAUUUAGGUAGCGCCUCGUGAAUUCAUCUCCGGGGGUAGAGCACUGUUUCGGCAAGGGGGUCAUCCCGACUUACCAACCCGAUGCAAACUGCGAAUACCGGAGAAUGUUAUCACGGGAGACACACGGCGGGUGCUAACGUCCGUCGUGAAGAGGGAAACAACCCAGACCGCCAGCUAAGGUCCCAAAGUCAUGGUUAAGUGGGAAACGAUGUGGGAAGGCCCAGACAGCCAGGAUGUUGGCUUAGAAGCAGCCAUCAUUUAAAGAAAGCGUAAUAGCUCACUGGUCGAGUCGGCCUGCGCGGAAGAUGUAACGGGGCUAAACCAUGCACCGAAGCUGCGGCAGCGACGCU
rnacentral:rRNA from 1 species